rnacentral:rRNA from 1 species
GGCUAGGGGGCUGUCAUGGCUUACCAAACCGAUGCAAACUCCGAAUACCGGCUAAUUGGAUCACGGGAGACACACGGCGGGUGCUAACGUCCGUCGUGGAGAGGGAAACAACCCAGACCGCCAGCUAAGGUCCCCAAGUACUAGUUAAGUGGGAAACGAUGUGGGAAGGCAUAGACAGCCAGGAGGUUGGCUUAGAAGCAGCCACCCUUUAAAGAAAGCGUAAUAGCUCACUGGUCGAGUCGGCCUGCGCGGAAGAUGUAACGGGGCUAAAACUAGUCACCGAAGCUGCGGAUGUGCGCGAAGGCGCACGUGGUAGGGGAGCGUUCUGUAGGCUGAUGAAGGUGCAUUGAGAGGUGUGCUGGAGGUAUCAGAAGUGCGAAUGCUGACAUGAGUAACGAUAAUGUGGGUGAAAAGCCCACACGCCGGAAGUCCCAGGUUUCCUGCACGACGUUAAUCGGAGCAGGGUGAGUCGGCCCCUAAGGCGAGGCUGAAGAGCGUAGUCGAUGGGAACCAGGUUAAUAUUCCUGGACUUUUUAUAAGUGGUGAAGUGGGGACGAAGAAGGCUAGGUGAGCCAGGCGUUGGUUGUCCUGGUACUUGCAUGUAGGGGGGAAGACUUGGCAAAUCCGGUUUUCCGAUACUCUGAGGUGCGAAGUGGUUCUGACCUUUUGGUACAGAGAAGUCAUUGAUGCCCGGCUUCCAGGAAAAGCUGCUAGCCAUAACUUAUAGAGAACCGUACCGCAAACCGACACAGGUGGACAGGUAGAGAAUACUAAGGCGCUUGAGAGAACUCGGGUGAAGGAACUAGGCAAAAUGGUACCGUAACUUCGGGAGAAGGUACGCCCUUUCUGGUGAUGGGAUUUACUUUCAGAGCUGGAGAGGGCCGCAGAGACCAGGUGGCUGCGACUGUUUAUUAAAAACACAGCACUCUGCAAAUUCGUAAGAAGACGUAUAGGGUGUGACGCCUGCCCGGUGCCGGAAGGUUAAUUGAUGGGGUUAUCUUCGGAGAAGCUCUUGAUCGAAGCCCCGGUAAACGGCGGCCGUAACUAUAACGGUCCUAAGGUAGCGAAAUUCCUUGUCGGGUAAGUUCCGACCUGCACGAAUGGCGUAACGAUGGCCACACUGUCUCCACCCGAGACUCAGUGAAAUUGAAAUCGCUGUGAAGAUGCAGUGUACCCGCGGCUAGACGGAAAGACCCCGUGAACCUUUACUAUAGUUUUGCACUGGACUUUGAUGAUGACUGUGUAGGAUAGGUGGGAGGCUGUGAAGUGAGGACGCUAGUUCUCAUGGAGCCGCCCUUGAAAUACCACCCUGUUGUUAUUGAGGUUCUAACUUGGUCCAGUAAUCCUGGAUGAGGACAGUGUAUGAUGGGUAGUUUGACUGGGGCGGUCUCCUCCCAAAGAGUAACGGAGGAGCACAAAGGUACCCUCGGUACGGUCGGACAUCGUACCAAGAGUGUAAAGGCAAAAGGGUGCUUGACUGCGAGAGUGACGGCUCGAGCAGGAACGAAAGUUGGUCUUAGUGAUCCGGUGGUUCUGAAUGGAAGGGCCAUCGCUCAACGGAUAAAAGGUACUCCGGGGAUAACAGGCUGAUACCGCCCAAGAGUUCAUAUCGACGGCGGUGUUUGGCACCUCGAUGUCGGCUCAUCACAUCCUGGGGCUGAAGCAGGUCCCAAGGGUAUGGCUGUUCGCCAUUUAAAGUGGUACGCGAGCUGGGUUUAGAACGUCGUGAGACAGUUCGGUCCCUAUCUGCCGUGGGCGUAGGAAAAUUGAGAGGAGCUGCUCCUAGUACGAGAGGACCGGAGUGGACGAACCUCUGGUGCACCGGUUGUCACGCCAGUGGCAUGGCCGGGUAGCUAAGUUCGGACGGGAUAACCGCUGAAAGCAUCUAAGCGGGAAGCCUCCCUCAAGAUGAGUUUUCCCAUGAAGCCCGUUGAAGACUACGACGUUGAUAGGCAAGGUGUGGAAGCGCAGUAAUGUGUGAAGCUAACUUGUACUAAUUGGCUGAUUGUCUUGACCAUAUAAUCUGAG